UACGGAGGGUGCAAGCGUUAAUCGGAAUUACUGGGCGUAAAGCGCACGCAGGUGGCUGAGUCAGUCGAUUGUGAAAGCCCCUGGCUCAACCUGGGAAUGGCAGUGGAUACUGGCAAGCUAGAGUGCGGUAGAGGGUAGUGGAAUUCCCGGUGUAGCGGUGAAAUGCGUAGAGAUCGGGAGGAACACCAGUGGCGAAGGCGGCUACCUGGACCAGCACUGACACUCAGGCACGAAAGCGUGGGGAGCAAACAGG
rnacentral:rRNA from 1 species